GGGAGAAGUGACUAAAGAACAGACAUGGAGUCUCUGGUUAUACUUCUUUUGUAUAAGUGCUCCGUUCCCGGCUAGUUAACUUGCUGGCGGGCAUGUGGCUGUUGGAAAGGACUUCUUGGAGACAUGUGAGCCGGAUAAUUCUUUGUUUAGGUGGCCUGUCUUCUGCAAGAUCCCUGGAUGCACCACGUCCUCUGCCUCCUUCCUGCCUUUCGUGCUGGCCGCUCCUACCUAGAAGCCUCUCUCACCGGUGCUGCGCGCCGUUGCUGACGGUCCGUGGGGCGCCGUUCA